rnacentral:tRNA from 1 species
GGCGCCUUCGUCUAUCGGUUAGGACGCGAGGUUCUCAACCUCGAAAGAGGGGUUCAACUCCCCUAGGCGCUACCA